AGGGGGCGCUGCGGGGGCGGGGAUUGAGGGGAGGGAGUUCCCGCCCCGAGCAGCCCGUCCCGGCCUGGGAGACAGAGCGGGGCGGGGCGGGGCGGGGCGGCUCUCAGGUGGACUCCGGCCCAAGGCAGCUUGGCCAAGUCUGGGCUUCUUUAGAAGGCGCUUUGGCCGCCAAGGAGUUGCAGGGUUCUGGGCUCCUUUUAUUUGGCGGUUGCUUAUUUGGGCUGUUUUGUACGGGGUGACUUCAAGGCACAGCUAGUUGCAAAGGGGUGUACCGUGUAGGCGUGGUUUUGGCUCCCUGCACAGGCGCUUCUCCGCCCCCCCCCCCCCUUCCGUUAGGAAAACACACCCGAAUUCAUGAACUUCGUGGUCCGCCCACGUGCCAGGUUUUUGUCCCACCCUUGGGUUGCGCUUCAACCGUUCAACGCAGGGCUGUGCCACAUUCAGGCAAGAGCCCCCGGGGGGUGGAGAGCGGGAGCGUGGCCUUUUUUAGUAGCAGCCAGCUCAGCAGCCCUCCCUCUAAGAAAUCAGCAGGGAAUCACCCACUAUGCAUAGAGAAGAGUGCAUCUCUGGCCUAAUAUUACAGCACUUUGGCUUUGAAUAGAGAGAGAAUUUUCUGAGAACUUACAGAGCCAGAUAAUGAAGAAGACUGGGACACCACCAGACUAAUGGAGAGAUCAGAGAUACAACUCAGAGGAAAGGAAAAGUACAUGAUUCCAGAUCCAGUCUGCCCCUACUCCUGCUGCCAAAAAUGGUAGGCUUCAAAGGUACUUGGCUUGUUUGCCUUCCCUCUUCUCUAAUAUUCCUUAAUAUAUAUGGCAGCAAGUACAACUCUGAUAUACAGGCACUGGCUGUAUUCUUCAAUACUCUCCCCGCCCCUUUCCCUCACAGUCUCUUCAACUCAGCCUUACUCCAUAUUUGCCUUUCAUAUUGUCCCUCCUUCCUCUUCACUGUUCCCUCUUGCCUCACCAUCUAGUUUAUCCCUGCCUAACUAAACCCACCCAAAUGUGAAAUAAUUGAACUAAGUGACAUUUGCUGCUAUCACAGUGUAUGUGCAUUAUAUCCCUUUCCCUACCCUUCAUGUGUCUUUUUUAUUUAGACUGUAAACUUUUGAGGGUAAAGACUGUCUACUAUUCUGUCCAAUGCUUAACACCUUGGACUGCCAUUCUUGGUUGUCCCGUAGGAACUACCAUAAUAAAGCUGAUUAAAUAAUAAUAAUGGAACAAGGGAACCUGUGAGAGGAAGGACUGCAAGGUGGAGUGGAGAAGCAUUCACUAAUUCAUCCCAGCACAAGGGUGCAGCCAACAGAAAUGUUGGGAAUCUCUGGCCUACUGCAGAGUGCAGUCUGAUCCGUUUAUUCUCUGAGCUAGAAAUCAGAAAUCCUUUUUCAGUUUCAAUCUUGUUCAAAUCCCCCAUAAUCAUAUUUUUUUAUUUCAAAAGGCCUGAUUUACAUCAAUUCCUUUCCACAGAGUUAUUUCUUUCACUGGAACAACGUGAAUUUUGACUCACCUGGAUUCUCUUGAAUCACAGACUCAGUUAAACCCUCAUGCACUUCAGUGAUGCAGAAUCAGGCACUAAUAGCACUAGCUAGAGUAAGUAAAUGCCUCAACUGCCAAAGCUUCCCCUACAAAGCUUUGUUAUAUACAUCAUAUUUUACUUGAACCAGCCUGUUAUUUCAGUCUUGGGCCUGGUUGGAGGAAAGAUGACCAGCUACUCCACAUUUCAACUCUGUGCAACCUAUCUUGACCUUCUUGGCCCAGAUCUUCAAAGGUGUUUAAGCUCCUAGCUUCUAUAGAUUUCAAUAGAAAUUAGGAGCCUCAGUGCUUAGAGGAUCUGGGCCCUUGGCCUUGUGUGUAUUCAUUAGCACAGUCUAUAAUUCCAGGAUCAAAUACUAUUUUUUGCAUAGGACCCUUGUCUCAUUCAGUGCACAGAAUGGACCUGCUCUGUGAAUGAAUCAGGGUUAUGUAGUGCAGCAGGUUGUUGUCUGUGGUACUCAUGCAUCAUUUGUUCAGAAGUGAAGGUUUGUAAUAAAUGAGGAUUGUACCCAAAAAUGGUUAAAGUGAUUAAAUGCUGGUCUGGAGAGUUAGAUUCUAUCCUUGCCUCUACCACAGAGUUCCUUGGUGAUGCUGGGCAAGCUACUUAAACCAAACUUUUCACAGGUGGUCACAAAUGCUUCAGUUUCUUGGUGCCUGGUGCGACACCCUGGGUUCUGAUUUGCAGAAGUGCUGAGCACUCACAUCUGCAACUGAAGUCUUGGGAGCUGUACUCUGAACAUACGAAGUGUGAUAUGCUAAGUACUUUAAAAAAUCAUGUCCUAAAUGUCUCAUAGUAGGCACCCAAAAUUAGUAGAUAUUUCUGACCCUAAUCUCUCUGUGCCUCAGUCAGUUCCACAAGUGUAAAAAGGGAGAUAAUAAUAUCCUCUCAUUUCACAGAAGUGUUGUGAAAUAAAUACACACACACACAUUUUUUGAAGCACAAAGAUACUAUAAAAAAGCCUAUGAGGAAAUUAAUAAUUCUGUCUUCAGAGCAAGGUUUGGAUAGUGUGCAGUAAAAAAAGGCAUGGCCACACAUUAUACAAGGAGAAAACUAAAUAUUGAAUAGCAUCCAUCCUCUGUACUGAAUGUGGUUGGGAUCCUCUGGGAAAAAAUAGUAUGAGAUCAUGUAAUUAAAGACAGUAUCAUAAUGGAUACACACAAGGGGGCUGAAUUAAACUUGCAGAAUCAACAGUAAUCCUGGCAUUUCCAACAGUUCAGUGCUUAACUUAAUAAUGUUCUUUUAAGGUAUUUUUUUGUGUGCAGUGGCUUCUCCACAAUGCGAUAUAUAUAUAUACCUGAACCUGGACAGACUAUCUCUUCAUUACAUGCAGUACUGUUCUAGGAUAGCAGACCCUUGGAUUCCAGUCCUCACAAGUGUUCACUCUCUCACUGCUAACAUCUUUGAUGUUGUUAUUGUUGAGUCUAUAUGUAUCUAGUAAAGACGUGCACCUAGAUUCUUUACUAUGCCUGUCAGUGUCAAAGGGUUGAAUACUAAAAAUUGUAUAGAGGUUUACUUGUUCAACAAAAUCUACCAUGAUACAUCUAGAGCUUGAUCAACUUUGUACCUUUGUACAGCCACCAAGGAAUAAAUUUUACACGUAACACAAUGCAGAAAAUGAGUAUGAUCCUAAUGUAAAAAAAUUAUAAGACAAGCGUUUCCAUUCGAAGCUGAAACUUUUAUUACAGGAUAACAGUACAUAAAGCACAUCUAAAAUUGAUGUGUUCAAUGCACUUAAUAAAGGUAAUGUAAUAUUAAAGGUACAAGUUUCUAAGUACAAUAUAACAACAUUCAUAUUAGAAUGAAAAUUGGAGUAUUUAAAAGACAACAUUAAAUCUCUUAUUUUUACAGUUGUAUUUACAAAAUGAAUCAAAAUACUUUUUCAGGACUCAGAGUAAAAUAAACUGUUGAAUAUAAGCAGACUAUUGUCAGAAUGAGUUUAAAAGAAGAUUCAAGAAAGUGAAAAGUUAGGUGAUAAUGGGUAAAGAUCAUUAGCAAAGUUUUAAUACAAUACAUUUUAACACUUCUCUUGAUGGCUUAUACUUUUAUUGUGGCUAGAAAAGGAAUUUUUACAUACUGUACACAUUUAAGUGUACAGUAUAAUUUCAUUUAAACUUGCAUGUAUUUAUAGAAAAAUGAGUAUUACUCAAUGAGGUUUGAGAAGUUCAUGUGCUUAAUCAUCAAACCAACACACAUUUGUAAUCAGCACUUAUUCUGGUCUCUUUACUUCAAACAUUUAGUUACAGGAGAAAAUAUUACCAGAGGGUUUUGCAUAAUUUAUAUAACAACUAAACUUAAACAAUCAGGGAGAACAUUUUCCUAGCAUAAAGUUUAUUACGUUAUGUUAGCAGGUAAAAAUUUAAGAGAUCCUCCAUUGAUUGCUGUUUGAAAGUAUCAAAAGGUGAUAUAAAUCAACAAGGGAUUUAGAAAUAAAAUCAUCAUAGUUUGUAUUUAAAUAAGACUAACUCUGAAGGUUUUAAAAGUAAUUGUCCUGAUAGUGUUUGUAAUUAAACUUUCUACUUAUGAAAAUAUACUCAUGGUGCAGUAAAGUUUGUAUUUAUUUUCAGGACAAUACUAUGUUACUGUAAAAAAAAAUAUUUUCCUUGGAUUGAGGGUACAAAAGCAGUGCAUGGAAGCCAAGAAUCAUGGCUUUAAAAUUCACUACCUUCUGUUAUCAAAAAGUGCAGUAAACAGAAACAUUAUCUUUAAUAAAUUGUUCAAAAAUCUUUGCUAAAGAUCUUAUAAAUUCAGUAAUAUUACAGAAAAAUUCUAAUAAAUAUUUAAAAAGGUUAAUUACCUCAGAUAUUUGAUAUCCAUCAAUUUUGUAAGAAUUUAAAUGACAAUAUUCGUGGGAGGAGAGAGUUGAAGCGAAGAGUAACUCCAAGAAGUAUGAUUUCUAGAUAAACAAAUGCAUGUAUAAAAAUUAAGAAAAUAUCAAGUUCUAUGACUGAAUGACUUCCACAAAUUCCAUUUCUGCAUUAACUUUAGGUAUCAAAGUCCAUCCUUGAACAUGCAUGUGUCGUUUUAAUGAGAAUCACAUAUGCAUGUAUAAGGUCAGAAUUUGGACAUCAGUGUUUCAUGAAAGAUUUACAGAACAUUCCCAUUGACAAUAACUGGAAUUAGGCAUAUAGGCAUGAUCAUGUGACUUCUGGAAUGGUGAGUGCCCUCAAAUCCUGUUAGAUUUAGGGGGAAGAAGGAACCCAGCAUUUAGCAGGUUUAGGUCUAUAUCUAUAUUUCUAUAUCUCACAUGGACUAACUAGAGAUCCCUCAAAUAACUACCUACUUCAACCCUUAAACUAGACAGCAUUUUAUACUGGGGAAUUGGCUACAUAUUUUUCGUAUGAUGUGAUAUGCAGUGAAAGCAUUUUAGCAACCCAAUGGAUAAUAAACAGGACAUAGCACAUUUAUCAUAAUAUGAACAUAGAAAAAUAUUUGAUAUCAAAUAUCUAUCUGUUGAAGUAAUUUUCUCCUCAUUAAAUAUACUACAGAAUAAUUUAUAUGAUACUAUGUAUUUAAAGAGAAAAAACAUGUCCCAAAUCUAGUACUCUGAUACAGAUACUUGUUGGGCAUAUGUAGAUUUUUAUAUAUAUAUAUAUAUAUAUAUAUAUAUAUAUAUAUAUGCGUGUGUGUACACACACACACACACACACACACGCAUAUAUAUGUUAUAGUCAGUGAAAUUAACAAGACCCAAGGUGGUAUUGUCUAGGAAUAAAAGGGGUUUGUUUUUUUGUUCACAAAAGUAACUUAUCUAGCACCACACAUCAGAAAAAACACAAAAAUAGCACACUCUAGUUCUAAACAGCUAUGUCUAAAAUAGAUUAUAUAGUAAAACAGAUAUUAUACAGCAUAAUGUGGUAUUUGAUAAACAGAUAAAUAUUUGCACUGUGUAGGCUGUUUAUAGCAUAACUUUAUCUAUACAGAAUGAAAGCAAAAAAGUUAACCGUAUAGUGGUGAGCAGAACAACAUUAAAUAUUAUGACUCAAAAGCAGAGACAAAGAUAAAGUUGAAAGAACAGAGCAAGAGAAAAUGUUUACAGGCCAUUACAAAUCCUUAAAUUAGUAGUAAAAUAAGGAAUUGGUUGCUCAAGUUUAAGAAAGCAGUAAACAAGAGAUUGCAUUUACAUGCAGAUGUCUAAAAUUUGUAUUUCUUUUUAAA